rnacentral:rRNA from 1 species
GGCGGACGGGUGAGUAACGCGUAAGGAACUUGCCUCUUGGACUGGGACAACUGUUGGAAACGACAGCUAAUACCGGAUAUUAUGAGAUUCUCGCAUGAGAAACUUAUGAAAGCUAUAUGCGCCAAGAGAGAGCCUUGCGUUCCAUUAGCUAGUUGGUGGGGUAACGGCCCACCAAGGCGACGAUGGAUAGCCGGCCUGAGAGGGUGAACGGCCACAAGGGGACUGAGACACGGCCCUUACUCCUACGGGAGGCAGCAGUGGGGAAUAUUGGACAAUGGGCCACAAGCCUGAUCCAGCAAUUCUGUGUGCACGAUGAAGGUCUUCGGAUUGUAAAGUGCUUUCAGUUGGGAAGAAGAAAGUGACGGUACCAACAGAAGAAGCGACGGCUAAAUACGUGCCAGCAGCCGCGGUAAUACGUAUGUCGCAAGCGUUAUCCGGAUUUAUUG